rnacentral:piRNA from 1 species
UGCAAGAAAAGAAAGAAAAUC